rnacentral:rRNA from 1 species
ACGGGUAGAUCUCCCACCCUUGAAUAUAUACCUUUGUUGCUUUGGCGGGUCGCGCUCAGCGCUACUGGCUUGUCUAGUACGUGCCCGCCAGAGGACCACAACUCUUGUUUUUAGUGAUGUCUGAGUACUAUAUAAUAGUUAAAACUUUCAACAACGGAUCUCUUGGUUCUGGCAUCGAUGAAGAACGCAGCGAAAUGCGAUAAGUAAUGUGAAUUGCAGAAUUCAGUGAAUCAUCGAAUCUUUGAACGCACAUUGCGCCCUCUGGUAUUCCGGAGGGCAUGCCUGUUCGAGCGUCAUUAUACCACUCAAGCUCAGCUUGGUCUUGGGGCCCGCCCACCAGCGGCCCCUAAAGUCAGUGGCGGUGCCGAUUGGCUCUAAGCGUAGUAAUACUCCUCGCUAUAGGGUCCGGUCGGUUGCUUGCCAACAACCCCCAAUUUUAUCAGGUUGACCUCGGAUCAGGUAGGGAUACCCGCUGAACUUAAGCAUAUCAAUAA